AAUAGAUGACGCCGUUGACUUUUUCUCACAUGUUUGACCAUUCGUCUUAUUCAAAAAAUUUUGUUAUGAGUUGUUUUAUCACUCAUAGUACUUUAAGUGUGAUUUAUAUCUUAUACAUUUGCAUAAAAUUUUUGAAUAAGACGAAUGGUCAAAUAUGUGAGAAAAAGUCAAUGGCGUCAUCUAUU
rnacentral:pre_miRNA from 1 species